rnacentral:lncRNA from 1 species
ACAUCAUUCUUUACAUUGUGCCACAUGCCAACAUCAUAUUGGACAGUUUGAAAAUAAAAAACACUUUCCCACCAUCACUUAUUUUGAAAACAAUGGAAUGUCAAGAAUGAUGUCGAAAUGUUAAUGUACAAAUAGCAUUGUUGUAAAAUACAAGAUGUUGUGUCAAGCUACUACACGGGGUAUGUUACAGUACCAACUUAAUUUUUUAUCAGCAAUCAUCGACAAGAAGAUUUAAGUACUCAAAAUCCCCGACCUGUAUAAAAUUACUUGAAGAACACGAAUGAUAUUAUCAUGUCA